rnacentral:rRNA from 1 species
UUAAGCGAACAAGCGUACACGGUGGAUGCCCUGGCAGUCAGAGGCGAUGAAGGACGUGCUAAUCUGCGAAAAGCGCCGGUAAGGUGAUAUGAACCGUUAUAACCGGCGAUGUCCGAAUGGGGAAACCCGGUGCACUUCGGUGCAUCAUCGUUAGCUGAAUACAUAGGCUAACGAGGCGAACCGGGGGAACUGAAACAUCUAAGUACCCCGAGGAAAAGAAAUCAACCGAGAUUCCCCCAGUAGCGGCGAGCGAACGGGGAACAGCCCAGAGCCUGAAUCAGCUUGUGUGUCAGUGGAACGGUCUGGAAAGGCCGGCGAUACAGGGUGACAGCCCCGUACACGAAGGCACACAGGCUGUGAGCUCGAUGAGUAGGGCGGGACACGUGAUAUCCUGUCUGAAGAUGGGGGGACCAUCCUCCAAGGCUAAAUACUCCUGACUGACCGAUAGUGAACCAGUACCGUGAGGGAAAGGCGAAAAGAACCCCGGCGAGGGGAGUGAAACAGAACCUGAAACCGUGUACGUACAAGCAGUGGGAGCCUUCGUAAGAGGGUGACUGCGUACCUUUUGUAUAAUGGGUCAGCGACUUAUAUUCUGUAGCAAGGUUAACCGUAUAGGGGAGCCGAAGGGAAACCGAGUCUUAACCGGGCGUUAAGUUGCAGGGUAUAGACCCGAAACCCGGUGAUCUAGCCAUGGGCAGGUUGAAGGUUGGGUAACACUAACUGGAGGACCGAACCGACUAAUGUUGAAAAAUUAGCGGAUGACCUGUGGCUGGGGGUGAAAGGCCAAUCAAACCGGGAGAUAGCUGGUUCUCCCCGAAAGCUAUUUAGGUAGCGCCUCGUGAACUCAUCUCCGGGGGUAGAGCACUGUUUCGGCUAGGGGGCCAUCCCGGCUUACCAACCCGAUGCAAACUGCGAAUACCGGAGAAUGUUAUCACGGGAGACACACGGCGGGUGCUAACGUCCGUCGUGAAGAGGGAAACAACCCAGACCGCCAGCUAAGGUCCCAAAGUCAUGGUUAAGUGGGAAACGAUGUGGGAAGGCCCAGACAGCCAGGAUGUUGGCUUAGAAGCAGCCAUCAUUUAAAGAAAGCGUAAUAGCUCACUGGUCGAGUCGGCCUGCGCGGAAGAUGUAACGGGGCUAAACCAUGCACCGAAGCUGCGGCAGCGACGCUUAUGCGUUGUUGGGUAGGGGAGCGUUCUGUAAGCCUGUGAAGGUGUGCUGUGAGGCAUGCUGGAGGUAUCAGAAGUGCGAAUGCUGACAUAAGUAACGAUAAAGCGGGUGAAAAGCCCGCUCGCCGGAAGACCAAGGGUUCCUGUCCAACGUUAAUCGGGGCAGGGUGAGUCGACCCCUAAGGCGAGGCCGAAAGGCGUAGUCGAUGGGAAACAGGUUAAUAUUCCUGUACUUGGUGUUACUGCGAAGGGGGGACGGAGAAGGCUAUGUCGGCCGGGCGACGGUUGUCCCGGUUUAAGCGUGUAGGCUGACUUUCCAGGCAAAUCCGGAAAGUUAAGGCUGAGGCGUGAUGACGAGGCACCACGGUGCUGAAGUGACAAAUGCCCUGCUUCCAGGAAAAGCCUCUAAGCAUCAGGUAACAUCAAAUCGUACCCCAAACCGACACAGGUGGUCAGGUAGAGAAUACCAAGGCGCUUGAGAGAACUCGGGUGAAGGAACUAGGCAAAAUGGUGCCGUAACUUCGGGAGAAGGCACGCUGACAUGUAGGUGAAGCCCCUGCGGGUGGAGCUGAAGUCAGUCGAAGAUACCAGCUGGCUGCAACUGUUUAUUAAAAACACAGCACUGUGCAAACACGAAAGUGGACGUAUACGGUGUGACGCCUGCCCGGUGCCGGAAGGUUAAUUGAUGGGGUUAUCGCAAGAGAAGCUCCUGAUCGAAGCCCCGGUAAACGGCGGCCGUAACUAUAACGGUCCUAAGGUAGCGAAAUUCCUUGUCGGGUAAGUUCCGACCUGCACGAAUGGCGUAAUGAUGGCCAGGCUGUCUCCACCCGAGACUCAGUGAAAUUGAACUCGCUGUGAAGAUGCAGUGUACCCGCGGCAAGACGGAAAGACCCCGUGAACCUUUACUACAGCUUGACACUGAACAUUGAGCCUUGAUGUGUAGGAUAGGUGGGAGGCUUUGAAGCGUGGACGCCAGUCUGCGUGGAGCCGACCUUGAAAUACCACCCUUUAAUGUUUGAUGUUCUAACCUGGCGCCGUGAUCCGGCGUGGGGACAGUGUCUGGUGGGUAGUUUGACUGGGGCGGUCUCCUCCCAAAGUGUAACGGAGGAGCACGAAGGUCAGCUAAUCCUGGUCGGACAUCAGGAGGUUAGUGCAAUGGCAUAAGCUGGCUUGACUGCGAGAGUGACGGCUCGAGCAGGUGCGAAAGCAGGUCAUAGUGAUCCGGUGGUUCUGUAUGGAAGGGCCAUCGCUCAACGGAUAAAAGGUACUCCGGGGAUAACAGGCUGAUACCGCCCAAGAGUUCAUAUCGACGGCGGUGUUUGGCACCUCGAUGUCGGCUCAUCACAUCCUGGGGCUGAAGUAGGUCCCAAGGGUAUGGCUGUUCGCCAUUUAAAGUGGUACGCGAGCUGGGUUUAGAACGUCGUGAGACAGUUCGGUCCCUAUCUGCCGUGGGCGCUGGAGAAUUGAGGGGGGCUGCUCCCAGUACGAGAGGACCGGAGUGGACGCAUCACUGGUGUUCGGGUUGUCAUGCCAAUGGCACUGCCCGGUAGCUAAAUGCGGAAGAGAUAAGUGCUGAAAGCAUCUAAGCACGAAACUUGCCCCGAGAUGAGUUCUCCCUGAGACUAUAAGUCUCCUGAAGGAACGUUGAAGACGACGACGUUGAUAGGCCGGGUGUGUAAGCGCAGCGAUGCGUUGAGCUAACCGGUACUAAUGAACCGUGAGGCUUAACCUU